UAAGACCGAGCAUCGCCUACUGGAUUUCUCUCAGCCUUAUGGCGAUGAUAGCGGUCUUUACUUCGUAGUCUGUGGUCUUACGCCCACAUUUGAAAAAUUGACAAUGGAUAUCAGUCUGUGUGUCAAUCUGUGUGUUAAUAAUCUCGUUGUUACAGAAGAAUCGUAGAAUGGUUUAUUAAAAAAGGUGCUGCAGAGUCAAAUAUCAAUAGAAAAAGUAAUGUGACAGCCAAGUUAGUGGGUGUAGCUGAGCUAGAGCUACUAAAAGAAGAAAACUGAAGACUAAAAUAAAUUGUAUAAAAAAUAGGGAAACCACCAUAUUGUGAAUGGAUCUCUAAACUGUUUGGGCAGCUAUGGGGAAAAGAGAGAUUGAAGUGUGUCAGCAGCUAGCCUCCUUAAAAGAAAAAUUAAUUCAAAUGAAUACACAGUAUUCAAAACAGCUGGAAGCAUUAAGACAGAAAUGAAGUUCAAGGAAUUAGAUUUCGCGAAAAUACAUAACAAGUGCACGAAGAAUGAACAGAAUGCUAAAGCUAAACAAAAAGAAUAAAAUACUUCCAACCUCCCCCCACAAAGAUGUUUAAGGAAAUACCUAAAGUUGGAGGUCAAUACAUUUUUUUCUUGUUGCAAGUUUUGUAAAACAAAUGGUAAUCUGGUAAAAUAAAGCAACACAUGACCUAUCACCUUGGAUCAAUUGUUUUCACAAGUGAAGAUUGAUUCCACAAUCUUCAGCUUCCCAGGCAGACACCCAUCCACAAAGCCAUGGUGAUAGAUAUAAAAAAUUUAUCUUUUAUGUUUUUGAUUCCAGAUUCAGAGAACAAUGUGUGGAAUCUAAUAUUCUAGCCCUGUAAACCCCAGCUGUUCUUCUGCUUCAACAAGGCUAUAAAGCAAUUAUAAUUUCAGGAGGUCUUAAUUCAGUUUACGUGGCGGAUGCCCCACUAUACGACCCAGCAAUCUUUACUUGCGGUCUUCCAAUGCCGGUAAUUUGUUAUGCAUGCAAUUAAUCAACAAGGAAUUAGGCGGAAUGGUGGAGAGAAAAGAUGUUCGUGAAGAUGGGCUAUUCGAGAUCCAAGUAGAAACGGAGUGUCCAUUGUUUAAAGGCUUAGAGACUCGGCAAAUGGUAUUACUGAACAAUGGUGACAGCGUAGACAAGGUUUCACAUUGGAGAAACGCGAGCAGCAGUGUAUCGAUUACAUCCGGCGCACGGUCGGACGUGAUAAGAUCGUGCUCAUGCUGCACUUCUACGGGUGAUAACUCGUCGCGAGUGCAGGGCAUUUACAUCGAUAACGGUUUCCUGCGUAAAGACGAAUCCGAACAGGUCGUCGCUAGUUUAUAGCAACUCGGGUCAUUCUUCGGGUAAUUUGAGAUACUUUUCUGGACGGUUCAGGAUCUCGUGAAGUCAAAUAAAUAAAGAAAAAUUUAUUUUGCUUCAUUACUGCCAUUUAAAUUAUGAAAACCGAUUUCCUUUUAAUAAUUUUCACUUACGUGCUUACGUCAACGCGACUCUUAAAGCAGAUUACUAUUUAUUUUUUUAUUAUUAUUUUUAUACGUCUAGGUGGCUUGUUGCCACUGGUUGCAGCUUACGGGCCGUAAUUGUAAGGGCCCUUACACACCGUAACUAUUUCUUUUUUCUCACGUUUGGCUUCAUAGUGGGUGGCGCCUUGAGCGUUGCUGUAUUUUCAAGACAUCUAGGGGAGAAAUAACUAACUCCGUAGAAUGUUUAUGGACGUGUCAGCUGUCCCGUCAGCUGUUCCAUUUUGCGUGUCUUCGGACUGAUGGUGGAUGAUUAAACGAACGUCUCUGUUCUUGAAAUUUCACCACCAAUUCCGUGCGUUUUGAGAAGCAUCGCAAUUCAAUCAAUGCAAAGUUGUUCAAGGAGGACCAUGGCUUUGCUAGGACGUUUUUCAUCUCUGUUAGUCUUAUACACCCAUUUUGUACCAAAGGUGACAUGUGAAAAAAAGUUGUUCUUUAUAAUCUAUUUCCCUAUCUCAAUCUCUUAGAUUUUUGUAGGUGUUAUCAGGUGAUGUUAGAAUUUAUUGUUAAUAGUUUAAGGUUUUGUAAUUGUGCUUUCAGGUCUUUGGGAUGUACUGAUGUUCUGUGGUGGCCGCAAAAUCAUUCAGUGACUUGGUUCAAUCCAGGAUUUGGUUUUUUCAAAAGUGGUAAACAGUUUUAAUUUGCAGAGAUCCUGGAGGUACCUGAUGUGUUGCAUUAGCGUUGGAGUUGCUCGGUGAGAGAAUGGAAUGCAACCAAUGUUAUGUUGUUAGUGUAAAUAAAACAUAUCUAGUAUCA
rnacentral:lncRNA from 1 species